rnacentral:tRNA from 1 species
GGAAGGGUGGCAGAGCGGUCAAUCGCAACGGUCUUGAAAACCGUGCCAGUUUACUGGCCCGUGAGUUCGAAUCUCACCCCUUCCG